rnacentral:rRNA from 1 species
UGGCGACCGGCAAACGGGUGCGGAACACGUACGCAACCUUCCUUUAAGUGGAGAAUAGCCCAGGGAAACUUGGAUUAAUACUCCGUAAUAUUACGAGAUGGCAUCAUUUUGUAAUUAUAGCUCCGGCGCUUAAAGAUGGGCGUGCGCCUGAUUAGGUAGUUGGCGGGGUAACGGCCCACCAAGCCUUCGAUCAGUAACUGGUGUGAGAGCACGACCAGUCACACGGGCACUGAGACACGGGCCCGACUCCUACGGGAGGCAGCAGUAAGGAAUAUUGGUCAAUGGACGCAAGUCUGAACCAGCCAUGCCGCGUGGAGGAUGAAGGUCCUCUGGAUUGUAAACUUCUUUUAUUUGGGAAGAAACCCACGAUUUCUAUUGUGGUUGACGGUACCAGAUGAAUAAGCACCGGCUAACUCCGUGCCAGCAGCCGCGGUAAUACGUAGGGUGCAAGCGUUAAUCGGAAUUACUGGGCGUAAAGCGUACGCAGGCGGCUUUGCAAGACAGGUGUGAAAUCCCCGGGCCUAACCUGGGAACUGCAUUUGUGACUGCAUGGCUAGAGUUUGUCAGAGGGGGGUGGAAUUCCACGUGUAGCAGUGAAAUGCGUAGAUAUGUGGAGGAACACCGAUGGCGAAGGCAGCCCCCUGGGAUGUGACUGACGCUCAUGUACGAAAGCGUGGGGAUCAAACAGGAUUAGA